UAGGGAAUCUUCGGCAAUGGACGAAAGUCUGACCGAGCAACGCCGCGUGAGUGAAGAAGGUUUUUCGGAUCGUAAAACUCUGUUGGUAGAGAAGAACGUUGGUGAGAGUGGAAAGCUCAUCAAGUGACGGUAACUACCCAGAAAGGGACGGCUAACUACGUGCC
rnacentral:rRNA from 1 species